AGGAACUCCACCAUGCAACUUAAUAAAAUUAAAAAUCAGCUACUAACCUUAUCAUGGAAUUACUUAAGGACGAGGUAGAUGUACUAACCUUAAAAAUAGAAGUUGAGAUAGUAAACAAAAUAAGGAAAUUAAAAAGUUAUACUUAGCUCAAGAAUAAAGAACUUAACCUUUCAAGUAUUAGCUUCUAACUAAUCAUCAGUUUUUCAGCUUAACU
rnacentral:lncRNA from 1 species